GCCCAAUAAACUAAUAUAUCCCACACACCCAUAAAAAAAAUUUUUUAUGCCCCACAGUAUCCCAACAAAACUCUUAUCCUUAAACAACCGCAAGGACUACCAACCUCUGCUCACCAUAGAAUAGAUAACAACUUAUCCCUCUUGCAUCAUGGAGGAGCAACAAAACCGUAAAAAUCAUACUACUCCCGAAUAAUUAUGAGCUACUAAAUUUUAAAACUUAAUGUUUCACAAUUAAAAGAUUAGUUUUUAGUAGAAGUAACAAGCCUUCCAUAUAGUUAGAUAGCUGGUUUUUCGCAAAAAGUAUCAAAGUACUGCCCCAUAGUUAAACUUAAAUACAAGCUAAACUAUAGGAGCCACCCUUUUAAGGACUAGCUUAAAAGGACAAUUAAAAUAAUUUCCACAUCACACCUUAAACGUAGACUUAAAAGCAGCCACCAAAACAGCGUUUUAGCUAAUAAACCACCACAAUACAAUAUAAAAACAAAAUUUUAACUAAAGCGAAAUCUAGUACCAAACAUCCCUUACUAACAAACAGGCAUCCUAUUAGUAUUACAAUUAUCAACAAACAUUAAAAAUAUUAACAAAUUUAAUACAAUAAAUAACUUUCCUAUUUUAAACCAUACAGAGUGAACUCGGCAACAAAUCUCCCCUGCCUGUUUACCAAAAACAUCGUCUUUUGUUAACUCACAUAAAAGAUAAUGCCUGCCCAGUGAAACUUUUAAACGGCCGCGUUAGCGUGAGCGUGCUAAGGUAGCGUAGUAAAUAGCCUUUUAAUUGGAGGCCAGUGAAUGGCAAGACUGGGGAUAUCUGUACCCUGUAUAGAAAAAUAACUUUUCAUCUGAGUGAAAAGACCCAGAUAAUAAAGGAAGACGAAAAGACCCCGCGGAACUUUACCUUUUCCAGUCUUUCUGUGCUUAGAAACACAACAAACAAAAGGUUUGAUUGGGGCAAUCUCGGAACCACCCAAACUUCCGACCACUACUAAUAAUAUAUAAAACUUGAUAAGGACCAAAAAGAAGUUACCCCGGGGAUAACAGCGUAAUCCAACUUGAGAGUACAAAUCAAAAGUUGGGUUUGCGACCUCGAUGUUGGCUUAAGGAUAUCCACAUAAGUGCAACCGCUAUGACAGGAUAGUCUGUUCGACUAUUAUACCCUUACACGAGCUGAGUUAAGACCGGCGCAAGCUAGGUUGGUUUCUAUCUCCUUAAUCCAAAAAAUUUUCUUGAUUGUACGAAAGGACCCCAAGAAGUGCAGCAAAUAAUAAGCAUUUAUUUAUAAACAACCUUUAACCCUAACCUUAACUUAUUUUACAGUUUA
rnacentral:rRNA from 1 species